rnacentral:rRNA from 1 species
GAGAUCGGGAUAACACCUGGAAACAGAUGCUAAUACCGGAUAACAANAGAUGAUGCCUAUCAACUGUUUAAAAGAUGGUUCUGCUAUCACUCUUGGAUGGACCUGCGGUGCAUUAGCUAGUUGGUAGGGUAACGGCCUACCAAGGCGAUGAUGCAUAGCCGAGUUGAGAGACUGAUCGGCCACAUUGGGACUGAGACACGGCCCAAACUCCUACGGGAGGCAGCAGCG